rnacentral:rRNA from 1 species
GCUCUCUGGUGAUUCAUAAUAACUUCUCGAAUCGCACGGCCUUGCGCCGGCGAUGGUUCAUUCAAAUUUCUGCCCUAUCAACUUUCGACGGCUGGGUCUUGGCCAGCCAUGGUGACAACGGGUAACGGAGGGUUAGGGCUCGACCCCGGAGAAGGAGCCUGAGAAACGGCUGCUACAUCCAAGGAAGGCAGCAGGCGCGCAUAUUACCCAAUCCCGACUCGGGGAGGUAGUGACAAUAAAUACUGAUACAGGGCUCUUUUGGGUCUUGUAAUUGGAAUGAGUACAAUUUAAAUCCCUUAACGAGGAACAAUUGGAGGGCAAGUCUGGUGCCAGCAGCCGCGGUAAUUCCAGCUCCAAUAGCGUAUAUUAAAGUUGUUGCAGUUAAAAAGCUCGUAGUUGAACCUUGGGCCUGGCUGGCCGGUCCGCCUCACCGCGUGCACUGGUCCGGCCGGGCCUUUCCCUCUGGGGAACCGCAUGCCCUUCACUGGGUGUGUCGGGGAACCAGCACUUUUACUUUGAACAAAUUAGAUCGCUUAAAGAAGGCCUAUGCUCGAAUACAUUAGCAUGGAAUAAUAGAAUAGGACGUGUGGUUCUAUUUUGUUGGUUUCUAGGACCGCCGUAAUGAUUAAUAGGGACAGUCGGGGGCAUCAGUAUUCAAUUGUCAGAGGUGAAAUUCUUGGAUUUAUUGAAGACUAACUACUGCGAAAGCAUUUGCCAAGGAUGUUUUCAUUAAUCAGGAACGAAAGUUAGGGGAUCGAAGACGAUCAGAUACCGUCGUAGUCUUAACCAUAAACUAUGCCGACUAGGGAUCGGACGAUGUUAUAUUUUGACUCGUUCGGCACCUUACACGAAAGUAAAGUUUCUGGGUUCUGGGGGGAGUAUGGUCGCAAGGCUGAAACUUAAAGA